UACCCCUAAACGCUCCAGUGCAACAGUCAAAUAAUAAAGCAACAGCACAGAAUUCCCGAAGGCCAACACAAGCUUCCCUUGAAAGCUUUUUCGAGUCCCAAAUACUCCACAAUUUGAUGAACUGUAGAGUACCCAGAAACUGCUUCCUCUUCAGACCAAUUUAGCUAAUAAAAGUUCCUUCCAAUCGCACAUCAAUCACCAAAUACAGAUACGUAUUUGAACAUCAAGAUGAUAAUUUCUUUACCAAAACAACA
rnacentral:misc_RNA from 1 species